UGGGGAAUUUUGGACAAUGGGCGAAAGCCUGAUCCAGCAAUGCCGCGUGUGUGAAGAAGGCCUUCGGGUUGUAAAGCACUUUUGUCCGGAAAGAAAUCCUCUGGUUAAUACCUCGGGGGGAUGACGGUACCGGAAGAAUAAGCACCGGCUAACUACGUGCCAGCAGCCGCGGUAAUACGUAGGGUGCAAGCGUUAAUCGGAAUUACUGGGCGUAAAGCGUGCGCAGGCGGUUUUGUAAGACGGAUGUGAAAUCCCCGGGCUUCAACCUGGGAACUGCAUUCGUGACUGCAAGGCUAGAGUAUGGCAGAGGGGGGUUAGAAUUCCACGUGUAGCAGUGAAAUGCGUAGAGAUGUGGAGGAAUACCGAUGGCGAAGGCAGCCCCCUGGGCCAAUACUGACGCUCAUGCACGAAAGCGUGGGGAGCAAACAGGAUUCAGAUACCCUGGUAGUCCACGCCCUAAACGAUGUCAACUAGUUGUUGGGGAUUCAUUUCCUUAGUAACGUAGCUAACGCGUGAAGUUGACCGCCU
rnacentral:rRNA from 1 species